rnacentral:hammerhead_ribozyme from 1 species
AUCCAUCUGACAAGUCCCAAUUAGAACGUAACGCGCGUCCUGGAU